rnacentral:lncRNA from 1 species
CGAGUACAACGUCCUGCUGGAGACCCUGAGCAGGACCGAAAAAUCCACGAGAACGUCAUUAGCCCCUCGGACCUGAGCGACAUCAAGGGCAGCGUCCUGCACAGCAGGCACACGGAGCUGAAGGAGAAGCUGCGCAGCAUCAACCAGGGCCUGGACCGCCUGCGCAGGGUCAGCCACCAGGGCUACAGCACUGAGGCUAGUUCGAGGAGCCCAGGGUGAUUGACCUGUGGGACCUGGCGCAGUCCGCCAACCUCACGGACAAGGAGCUGGAGGCGUUCCGGAGGAGCUCAAGCACUUCGAAGCCAAAAUCGAGAAGCACAACCACUACCAGAAGCAGCUGGAGAUUGCGCACGAGAAGCUGAGGCACGCAGAGAGCGUGGGCGACGGCGAGCGUGUGAGCCGCAGCCGCGAGAAGCACGCCCUGCUGGAGGGGCGGACCAAGGAGCUGGGCUACACGUGAAGAAGCAUCUGCAGGACCUGUCCGGCAGGAUCUCCAGAGCUCGGCACAACGAACUCUGAAGGCAUUGGGGAGCCCAGCCCGGCAGGGAAGAGGCCAGCGUGAAGGACCUGGGCUCUUGGCCGUGGCAUUUCCGUGGACAGCCCGCCGUCAGGGUGGCUGGGGCUGGCACGGGUGUCGAGGCAGGAAGGAUUGUUUCUGGUGACUGCAGCCGCUGCCGUCGCGACACAGGGCUUGGUGGUGGUAGCAUUUGGGUCUGAGAUCGGCCCAGCUCUGACUGAAGGGGCUUGGCUUCCACUCAGCAUCAGCGUGGCAGUCACCACCCCAGUGAGGACCUCGAUGUCCAGCUGCUGUCAGGUCUGAUAGUCCUCUGCUAAAACAACACGAUUUACAUAAAAAAUCUUACACAUCUGCCACCGGAAAUACCAUGCACAGAGUCCUUAAAAAAUAGAGUGCAGUAUUUAAA